rnacentral:rRNA from 1 species
UACAGAGGUCUCGAGCGUUAGGCGGAAUCACUGGGCUUAAAGCGUGUGUAGGCGGAUUGCUAAGUACCUUGUGAAAUCCCACGGCUUAACCGUGGAACUGCUUGGUAUACUGGCGGUCUUGAGCCACUUAGGGGCUACCGGAACAAAUGGUGGAGCGGUGAAAUGCGUAGAUAUCAUUUGGAACGCCAAUGGUGAAAACAGGUAGCUGGGAGUGUGCUGACGCUGAGACACGAAAGCCAGGGGAGCGAACGGG